rnacentral:lncRNA from 1 species
GUGAUGUAGUUCUGGAUUGUAUUCAGCUGUGAAUCCAGGUGAAGACAUUGUAAUUAAUGUGGCUUGUGUGACUAAGAGAGAGCUCCUUGGUGUUAUGCUUGAAAAGGGAGUAAAUCUGUCAAAUACUAUCAGUAAAAUUGUUUAAAAAUAGGCUAAAUACAGUGGUUCUGUUUGGUGAUUCUGUAAUUGUACAGUAGAGCACUUUAACUCCUAGGAUAGAGGAGGGCUUUUUAGAGAGGUGAUGGAGUGAUAGUUAAAGUAUUUCAUUCUGAAGUAUGGAAUUUUGAAAACAAAAUAUAAUUGCUGGGAUCCUGGGUUUGAUAACAAGUUCUCCUUGUUCAGCAACCCAUGAAGGGAAGCAAUUUGGUGACUUUGCUGCCAGUUUUGAAGAACACCUCUGUGCAAGACAGCAUUCCAGCACUGCCUGUGUUCCCGUGGAUAGGGAUCCAUGGCUCAAGGCCUGAUUUUGCAAGCAGGGCAGGAGCAAUGAAACCCAGCUGCCCUUUUGGCAAGAGGAGCUGCUGCCUCUUGGGCCACAGGUAAGAGCUGCAGUUCCUCAGACCCCAGGAGCUGACUAGCUGAGUACAAGUGACACUUAGCAUUUGUGCUGUGAUGAGAUUUUUAAAAAUUAUUGCCCAGGUAUGAAAAAGAAAAGCUAAACAGGAUUAAGAAACAAAGAAGAACUAUUUUGCAGAUGCGGUCUGGUGGCAGUUGUGUGGCCUCAGAUCCCAGGUCUAUAAAUAAGAUCAUUAUAAAUUAUUUCAUUUUCUGUUUAAUCUGACACAUGUUUUCGAGUAUUAAAUUUCAUUAUAGCAAAUUAUUUUCUGACUGUUUUUCUUUUCCUAGUCAUAGAGAUUAAAUUCUGCCCUCU